rnacentral:lncRNA from 1 species
AUGAGUAUCAAGAUUGGCAUGACUCUGGCGCCUUUACCCCUCUAGUCAAUGAACCCUGCUGGUUGCUGCAGUGGAAAGUCAAUAUUUACUCUUAGCGAUCGUUUGCAUGCGUCUGCACUAAAAUUAACAAAAGCAGAACAAGGCCGUUGCCUUGUUCCAAUGUUAGUUUUGUUGUGCUGAUUAUUUUUUUUUAAAAAAAAAGUCAUAUUUAUUGACUGGGYUUUGCUCUGUCCUGCUCGGCUUUCAGACAAGUCACCUGGUAAGGCUCCUGGCCCCUCUGGUAGGCAGCAAAGCAAACAUUAGCCAGAGGGAAAGUGGCUCUUUCAGGCCUGGACAGAUGCUGAUCUGUCUGGAAGAGCUCCUUACGGUAGCUCUGGACUUGCAUGUGGCUUUGGUGAAUGCUGAUGUGGCUGCUGGCUCCCCAGGGUCUCCUCACACGUCCUGCAGGGAGGAGCUGGCUGAUGAUCUCCGAGGAGUCCUCAGAAACUCGGCAGCCAGGAAUCCUUCAUGCUGGAUUCAUCUGUCGUGUGUGAAAUGGGAUCACAUGUCAAGGAAGUGAAAGGGAGGAAAUAAGCAGAGCAGCGACGUUUCUGGGCUUUGGGGUGGCUUCCACGGACUCACAGAAGACAGCUUGGGCUGGGGUCUUCCUCUUUCUCUGCUUUGGGGCAACACUGACCGUGUCCACAGUUAAGACAUCAUGGCUGAAAGUAGCAGAGGGCCCGCCCCUUCCCCUAGAUGAAUCGUUUCUCUGCCAGAUAUCUGGGGGGUAAGGUUUGAGUUCAACUCCACAAGUCAUUGACUUGCCACAUGAGGGCUGAAUUUGGCUUUGGUUUGUUGUUUUGGAGCUCAAAGAUCUUGAAAAGGUUGGAUGCCAGGGUUGCCAGAGAAACGGAGCUCAAUCUUCUGAUCUGGUCAUUAUUCCUUACCCUGUCUUCCUCCUCAUUACCCAGCUUCAUCUUUGACUUCCUCGGAAACUUCCUCUUCCCCCAGAGCAUCCAUCAGAGCUGGACUACCACAGUGAGAGAGAUCCUGGCUAUGGCUGCAGCUCAGUCCUCCCAUCUCCGCUUUGUCCUCCAGCUGCUCAGAGGAGACCCGGUUCAGGCCAUAAGGAAAAGGUUAAUCUCCCCUGCACACGCUGGAGGGACAGGACCKCUUGCUGCUGGACCGCCGUGGUGGUACCCAGAGGCACCCUCCUGUACGCUGACCCUCGCUGCUGUGAUGCGUUUUGAGAGAUGCUACAAAUCUGCACUGCACAAAUGUCCUGCUGCUCUUGGAGUGAGUUUGUACCUGUGCGUUAAAGAAGGGGGGACGGUCCCUGCUGAGCUGCUACCUUGA